CACCCCCGUCUGUUCUGUCCUGUACUGAAUGAAAAAACCUUUUGGUUCGGUAUUCAGCCGAAUCGCUUGGGAUGGAUUCAGGGGUUCGGCCGAACCCGAAAAACUAGCUUGGAAUGAAGAAGAAGAAAUACAUGCCGUAUAAUCACCAGCACAAGUACUUCUUCUUCAUUGGGCCUCCAGCACUGAUUCCCGUCUAUUCCCAAUGGUAUAUUUUCUACUU